rnacentral:rRNA from 1 species
CAGUAGCCGCGGUAAUACGUAGGUGGCAAGCGUUGUCCGGACUUAUUGGGCGUAAAGGGCUCGCAGGCGGUUUCUUAAGUCUGAUGUGAAAGCCCCCGGCUCAACCGGGGAGGGUUAUUGGAAACUGGGAAACUUGAGUGCAGAAGAGGAGAGUGGAAUUCCACGUGUAGCGGUGAAAUGCGUAGAGAUGUGGAGGAACACCAGUGGCGAAGGCGACUCUCUGGUCUGUAACUGACGCUGAGGAGCGAAAGCGUGGGGAGCGAACAGGAUUAGAUACCCCGGUAGUCCCUGUCUCUUAUAA